AUCAUGGCUCAGGAUUAACGCUUGCGGGGUCCCUAAUCCAUGCAAGUUGAGCGAAUUAUUAGGAGCUUGCUCCUUCUGAUUUAACGGCGGACGGGUUAGUAACACGUGGGUAAUCUGCCUGUAAGACGGGAAUAACUCCGGGAACCCGGGGCUAAUACCGAAUAUUAAGAGAAGAAGCAUUUCUUCUUUUUGAAAGUNGNUUUUGGCUGACACUUACAGAUGAGCCCGCGGCGCAUUAGCUAGUUGGUGAGGUAACGGCUCACCAAGGCGACGAUGCGUAGCCGACCUGAGAGGGUGAUCGGCCACACUGGGACUGAGACACGGCCCAGACUCCUACGGGAGGCAGCAGUAGGGAAUCUUCGGCAAUGGGCGAAAGCCUGACCGAGCAACGCCGCGUGAGCGAUGAAGGCCUUCGGGUCGUAAAGCUCUGUUGUUAGAGAAGAACAAGUACGAGAGUAACUGCUCGUACCUUGACGGUACCUAACCAGAAAGCCACGGC
rnacentral:rRNA from 1 species